rnacentral:rRNA from 1 species
UAUUGCACAAUGGGGGGAACCCUGAUGCAGCGACGCCGCGUGAGUGAAGAAGUAAUUCGUUACGUAAAGCUCUAUCAGCAGGAAAGAAAAUGACGGUACCUGACUAAGAAGCCCCGGCUAACUACGUGCCAGCAGCCGCGGUAAUACGUAGGGGGCAAGCGUUAUCCGGAUUUACUGGGUGUAAGGGGAGCGUAGACGGCUAUGCAAGUCUGGAGUGAAAGCCAGCAGCUUAACUGGGGGACUGCUUUGGAAACUGUAAAGCUGGAGUGCAGGAGGGGUGGGUGGAAUUCCUAGUGUAGCGGUGAAAUGCGUAGAUAUUAGGAGGAACACCGGUGGCGAAGGCGGCCCACUGGACUGUAACUGACGUUGAGGCUCGAAAGCGUGGGGAGCGAACCGGA